ensembl:lncRNA
CAGAGACCUAUAGCUACCAGGGCUGGAUGUAUUAUUGUUAAAUUUAGUUCACUUCAAUUCAGUCUAUCCCUAACCCUAACUUCACUGCAUGGGAAAUUAAACCAGUUAUGCGUUUGUUGAAGUAGAUGGCCUAUUGCAGGUCAUUCGCCUGGUGGAGUUGUCUGUAGCUGACAGGGUUAGGUGUAGUCUGGUAUAGCUGUCUGUAGCUGAUAGGGUUAGGUGUAUCUGGUGGUAGUUGUCUGUAGCUGAUAGGGUCAAGUAUAGUCUGGUGGAGUUGUCUGUAGCUGAUAGGGUUAGGUGUAGUCUGGUAUAGCUGUCUGUAGCUGAUAGGGUUAGGUGUAGUCUGGUAUAGUUGUCGUCUAUCAGUUGAUGAUUUACGUUGGGUCUGGUAUUUGUAGUUCAUCAGUAGAAGCUGCAGGGUGGGUGUGGUAGUUGUAGUCCAUCAGUAGAAGAUGCUGGGUGGGUGUGGUAGUUGUAGUCCAUCAGAAGAAGAUGCAGGGUGGGUGUGGUAGUUGUAGUCCAUCAGUAGAAGAUGCAGGGUGGGUGUGGGUCUGAUGAGAAACCUGUAGUACUCCUUGAGUAUCCCCAACAGUACACAUUUUAUUGUAUCCCUGGACAAGCACACCUGAUUCAGUACUGGAGGAGAAGUUGGGAAACACCGCUGUAGGACACAGAAACAUAAAGACUUAGCUAGGUUAUCUUUUUCAUAUUUUAAUGUCACCCUUAUUUAACCAUACAGUGUUCACAAAGUUACGCAUUAAAAACAACACAUUUCCAGGGCCAAACAGAAAACCUUUCUACUCAUAACCCAAAUAAGUACUCAUAACCCAAAUGAGUAUUCAUAACCAAAACGUAUGCCGCCAAACAUACCCUCAUAAAACUAACUAUCCUACCGAUCCUCAACUUUAGCAAUGUCAUCUACAAAAUAGCCUCCAAC